rnacentral:rRNA from 1 species
GUCGGCAGGCCUAACACAUGCAAGUCGAGCGGUAGCACAGAGAGCUUGCUCUCGGGUGACGAGCGGCGGACGGGUGAGUAAUGUCUGGGAAACUGCCUGAUGGAGGGGGAUAACUACUGGAAACGGUAGCUAAUACCGCAUAAUGUCGCAAGACCAAAGUGGGGGACCUUCGGGCCUCAUGCCAUCAGAUGUGCCCAGAUGGGAUUAGCUAGUAGGUGGGGUAACGGCUCACCUAGGCGACGAUCCCUAGCUGGUCUGAGAGGAUGACCAGCCACACUGGAACUGAGACACGGUCCAGACUCCUACGGGAGGCAGCAGUGGGGAAUAUUGCACAAUGGGCGCAAGCCUGAUGCAGCCAUGCCGCGUGUGUGAAGAAGGCCUUCGGGUUGUAAAGCACUUUCAGCGGGGAGGAAGGCGGUGAGGUUAAUAACCUCAUCGAUUGACGUUACCCGCAGAAGAAGCACCGGCUAACUCCGUGCCAGCAGCCGCGGUAAUACGGAGGGUGCAAGCGUUAAUCGGAAUUACUGGGCGUAAAGCGCACGCAGGCGGUCUGUCAAGUCGGAUGUGAAAUCCCCGGGCUCAACCUGGGAACUGCAUUCGAAACUGGCAGGCUAGAGUCUUGUAGAGGGGGGUAGAAUUCCAGGUGUAGCGGUGAAAUGCGUAGAGAUCUGGAGGAAUACCGGUGGCGAAGGCGGCCCCCUGGACAAAGACUGACGCUCAGGUGCGAAAGCGUGGGGAGCAAACAGGAUUAGAUACCCUGGUAGUCCACGCCGUAAACGAUGUCGAUUUGGAGGUUGUGCCCUUGAGGCGUGGCUUCCGGAGCUAACGCGUUAAAUCGACCGCCUGGGGAGUACGGCCGCAAGGUUAAAACUCAAAUGAAUUGACGGGGGCCCGCACAAGCGGUGGAGCAUGUGGUUUAAUUCGAUGCAACGCGAAGAACCUUACCUGGUCUUGACAUCCACAGAACUUAGCAGAGAUGCUUUGGUGCCUUCGGGAACUGUGAGACAGGUGCUGCAUGGCUGUCGUCAGCUCGUGUUGUGAAAUGUUGGGUUAAGUCCCGCAACGAGCGCAACCCUUAUCCUUUGUUGCCAGCGGUUAGGCCGGGAACUCAAAGGAGACUGCCAGUGAUAAACUGGAGGAAGGUGGGGAUGACGUCAAGUCAUCAUGGCCCUUACGACCAGGGCUACACACGUGCUACAAUGGCAUAUACAAAGAGAAGCGACCUCGCGAGAGCAAGCGGACCUCAUAAAGUAUGUCGUAGUCCGGAUUGGAGUCUGCAACUCGACUCCAUGAAGUCGGAAUCGCUAGUAAUCGUAGAUCAGAAUGCUACGGUGAAUACGUUCCCGGGCCUUGUACACACCGCCCGUCACACCAUGGGAGUGGGUUGCAAAAGAAGUAGGUAGCUUAACCUUCGGGAGGGCGCUUACCACUUUGUGAUUCAUGACUGGGGUGA